rnacentral:lncRNA from 7 species
CAGCUUAAUGUUCACAUUAACACAAAAACAACAACAGAACUGCGGAGCUAACAACUCCACUGAAAGAUGGAGUCGCCUGAGGAAGACAGCAGUGGCAACAGUGAGGAAAAGAAAUCUGGGACAUCCGUGCUUUGGGCAUCCAGUAAGGAUGAGGAAGCAGCACAGGCCUUACAAUGAAAUUACUGCUGGACGAAUGCAGAGAAUCACCUCGUGAUUUUGAGUUGGAGUUUCUCCAUCUACAAAGUUGAGAGGUCAAUGAGAAGACUCCUGUACCGCAGAGAAGAGCAGGAUGGCAACAGUUCUAUCAGGACUUGAUCCUUCUUAAAUGUGAUGCAGAAGUAGGAGCAAGUGCUCUUCAGCCCAAGAGUAUGAGAAGAAUUCAUAUUGUGGCCUUGCUCUGACAGCAUAGGGGCAGUGAUACGAUGAAGACAAGCAAAUUUUCCAUUGCUGUACACCAUGGAAAGUUCUAAUGAAGGAGAUUGGAGCUGGAGACCACAACGUGUUUGAAGUAAUUUUGAUGUCCCUUUUGCACAUUCCCAAGGUAGAAGAUGCUUGAUCAAACCAGUCAAACUCGGGCUUCCUGCUGUGAGUGUAACAGAUGAUAAGUAUAAACUUGAGUUCUCAUGAAUUUUCAGCCACGAGUCCAUCUGGGAAUAAUUUCGCUGUGAGAAGAAGGCUUCCAUUCUAUCAAGAAAAAAGGCUGCAUGGAAAUCACAGAAAGCUACAGAAGAAAGUUUCAGUCAUUGUUUAAAAGCAUUGUGGCCUGUGAAGAUGAAAACCAGAACGGGGAUUUGCCUCCAAAUUUUAUAAGCUUCUAGAAAGUAAAAUGAUGAGAAACAAAUGCAAAAAGUUCACAAAAGUACUAGUUACUUAAAAAAAAAUCUUACUGCCUUAUUCUUUCAUGAUGAAUAAACCCAAUUAGAAGGAUACUAAUUACCCAGAAUGACAUCAUUUAAACAGGUAGAGAUAUUCCUAGUACGUUUAGGUUGCCACCUAGGUUAGUCUUAUACUUCUCAGUUGCUAACAAUGAAGUUCUCAGCCACUGGAACAAAUUAUUAAGAGGAACAGUGAGCUUACCAUUUCUUGAAGUCUUCAAACUGAGAGUGAAUGGUAUGCUUUAGCAAACAAUGGUGACACAGCUGGGUGAAAUUAUAUGGUUGUACUAAAGAGCAGGAAACAUGAGAUGUUCUAUGUGGUCCUUUCUAGCCUUAAGAGCUAUAGAUCUGUAAUUUCACAAAUACCAUUACAAAGAAUUCUUUAGAAGUAGUGAUGACCAUAGCAAUAAUCUGAAUCCAUCUCCUGAUUUGGGGUAGAUUAUUCUAAAGAACUUUGAAAAAUUACAGGCUACAGUACUGUUUUUGUGUGGUACUGUCACUACAAGGUUGUGUAACUAGCAUAAAGGGGUCACUUUGUAAUUUUACAGUAUUAGAAAUCCCUUUUUGUGGACUAAACAGAUCCUUCUUCUCUCCAAAAGAGCUCAUUGUACUUCAGUUCGUGAAUGAGUGUAUAAACAAGUAAGCAUGUGUACUGCUUUCCUAUGGUGAUGCAUUUCUCUCACUGAAAUGUGUUAGAUUCACUUAGUGAAAUAAAAAAAUAUCCGGAGAGGAAAUUAUAAGAUAUUGCUCAUUAACACAGACUAUGUCUAAGCUAAACUAAUUUUCUUCUUGUAGGGUGACCCGAGACACUGCUUAAAAGAGAGCCCUUUGCCAUAGCCAGUCUUCCAGUUGAAGACAGCUAAAUCAUUGUUUUCCAUAUUUCCAACAACUUUUGGCAUUUGUCACUGUCAAAAAUUAAAUACAAUGGAAUAUUUGGAAAUUUGGGAAAGGGAUGUAUAACUGAGUGAACAGUUGGACAUGAAAUGUUUCUUCAGUUUUAGAAAGAUGAAUAAAUUAAUUGACUACAU